rnacentral:rRNA from 1 species
CUUGAACGCUGGCGGCAGGCCUAACACAUGCAAGUCGAACGAGUGGCGGACGGGUGAGUAAUGUCUGGGAAACUGCCUGAUGGAGGGGGAUAACUACUGGAAACGGUAGCUAAUACCGCAUACCAUCAGAUGUGCCCAGAUGGGAGUAGCUAGUUGGUGGGGUAACGGCUCACCAAGGCGACGAUCCCUAGCUGGUCUGAGAGGAUGACCAGCCAGCCUGGAAAUGAGACACGGACAAGACUCCGACGGGAGGCAGCAGGAGGGAAUAUGGAACAAUGGGCGCAAGACUGAUGGAGCCAUGCCGCGUGUAUGAAGAAGGCUGUCGGGUUGUAAAGUACUUUCAGCAGGGAGGCGUUACCCACAGAAGAAGCAACGGCGAAAGACGUGGCAGCAGCCGCGGUAAUAC